CAGCGGAGGGAUCAUUGCUGGAACGCGCUUCGGCGCACCCAGAAACCCUUUGUGAACUUAUACCUAUUGUUGCCUCGGCGUUAGGCCGGCCUCCUCACUGAGGCCCCCUGGAAACAGGGAGCAGCCCGCCGGCGGCCAACUAAACUCUUGUUUCUAUAGUGAAUCUCUGAGUAAAAAACAUAAAUGAAUCAAAACUUUCAACAACGGAUCUCUUGGUUCUGGCAUCGAUGAAGAACGCAGCGAAAUGCGAUAAGUAAUGUGAAUUGCAGAAUUCAGUGAAUCAUCGAAUCUUUGAACGCACAUUGCGCCCCCUGGUAUUCCGGGGGGCAUGCCUGUUCGAGCGUCAUUUCAACCCUCAAGCCUGGCUUGGUGAUGGGGCACUACUUCCUCACGGGAGUAGGCCCUGAAAUUCAGUGGCGAGCUCGCCAGGACCCCGAGCGUAGUAGUUAUAUCUCGCUUUGGAAGGCCCUGGCGGUGCCCUGCCGUUAAAACCCCAACUUCUGAAAAUUUGACCUCGGAUCAGGUAGGAAUACCCGCUGAACUUAAGCAUA
rnacentral:rRNA from 1 species